UUGGUCAGAUGCCAAAGACACAAUUUGUUAAAAGUUCCUUAGAGGGACAAAGCUUUUUUCAUAGUUAAAAAUGCUUUCAAAACAAGGGCUAAUCUGUGUGUGUGUGUGUGUGUGUGUGUGUGUGUGUGUGUGUGUUACCAAA